rnacentral:lncRNA from 1 species
CUUUCCAUUGGAUAAGUCUCUGCUAAGCCUAUGUAGUCAUGUUCCAGUGGUACAGACAUCAAGGUGUUUCAACCAGUUUUGAGAGCUCAAGAUAUGACACUAGAAACUAAAGGAGUUGAGAGAGAGAGAGAGAGAGAGAGAGAGAGAGCGGUAGGGAAGGUAGGCGAGGAGGNNNNNNNNNNNNNNNNNNNNAAGUAGAGAGAGAGAGAGAGAGAGAGAGAGAGAGAGCGUAGGGGAAGUAGGCAGAGGAGUCUGGUUAAGUUCUAAAGAGCUGGUUAUGUUUGAUGCAGAGGAAGCUUCUUUUAGCCUUUCUGUAGCUGCGUUAUCAUUCUCUGCUUUUUUUUUCUUGCAUUUUUAUCAAAAACUCUUGAGCUUUUUCUUUAUUGCAGGUUUGCAGCAAUGAUGAAAGUAAGCAGUCAUGGUUUAACAAUUAAAAAGCUAUC